UUCCUAGUAACUCAAAGGUAGAGUAGUGGACUGUUAAUCCAUUAGUUCUUGGUUCGAAUCCAAGCUAGGGAG
rnacentral:tRNA from 1 species